rnacentral:rRNA from 1 species
ACUAAGCGUACACGGUGGAUGCCCUGGCAGUCAGAGGCGAUGAAGGACGUGCUAAUCUGCGAUAAGCGUCGGUAAGGUGAUAUGAACCGUUAUAACCGGCGAUUUCCGAAUGGGGAAACCCAGUGUGUUUCGACACACUAUCAUUAACUGAAUCCAUAGGUUAAUGAGGCGAACCGGGGGAACUGAAACAUCUAAGUACCCCGAGGAAAAGAAAUCAACCGAGAUUCCCCCAGUAGCGGCGAGCGAACGGGGAGCAGCCCAGAGCCUGAAUCAGUGUGUGUGUUAGUGGAAGCGUCUGGAAAGGCGCGCGAUACAGGGUGACAGCCCCGUACACAAAAAUGCACAUACUGUGAGCUCGAUGAGUAGGGCGGGACACGUGGUAUCCUGUCUGAAUAUGGGGGGACCAUCCUCCAAGGCUAAAUACUCCUGACUGACCGAUAGUGAACCAGUACCGUGAGGGAAAGGCGAAAAGAACCCCGGCGAGGGGAGUGAAAAAGAACCUGAAACCGUGUACGUACAAGCAGUGGGAGCCUCUUUAUGGGGUGACUGCGUACCUUUUGUAUAAUGGGUCAGCGACUUAUAUUCUGUAGCAAGGUUAACCGAAUAGGGGAGCCGAAGGGAAACCGAGUCUUAACUGGGCGUUAAGUUGCAGGGUAUAGACCCGAAACCCGGUGAUCUAGCCAUGGGCAGGUUGAAGGUUGGGUAACACUAACUGGAGGACCGAACCGACUAAUGUUGAAAAAUUAGCGGAUGACUUGUGGCUGGGGGUGAAAGGCCAAUCAAACCGGGAGAUAGCUGGUUCUCCCCGAAAGCUAUUUAGGUAGCGCCUCGUGAAUUCAUCUCCGGGGGUAGAGCACUGUUUCGGCAAGGGGGUCAUCCCGACUUACCAACCCGAUGCAAACUGCGAAUACCGGAGAAUGUUAUCACGGGAGACACACGGCGGGUGCUAACGUCCGUCGUGAAGAGGGAAACAACCCAGACCGCCAGCUAAGGUCCCAAAGUCAUGGUUAAGUGGGAAACGAUGUGGGAAGGCCCAGACAGCCAGGAUGUUGGCUUAGAAGCAGCCAUCAUUUAAAGAAAGCGUAAUAGCUCACUGGUCGAGUCGGCCUGCGCGGAAGAUGUAACGGGGCUAAACCAUGCACCGAAGCUGCGGCAGCGACACUAUGUGUUGUUGGGUAGGGGAGCGUUCUGUAAGCCUGUGAAGGUGUGCUGUGAGGUAUGCUGGAGGUAUCAGAAGUGCGAAUGCUGACAUAAGUAACGAUAAAGCGGGUGAAAAGCCCGCUCGCCGGAAGACCAAGGGUUCCUGUCCAACGUUAAUCGGGGCAGGGUGAGUCGACCCCUAAGGCGAGGCCGAAAGGCGUAGUCGAUGGGAAACAGGUUAAUAUUCCUGUACUUGGUGUUACUGCGAAGGGGGGACGGAGAAGGCUAUGUUGGCCGGGCGACGGUUGUCCCGGUUUAAGCGUGUAGGCUGGUUUUCCAGGCAAAUCCGGAAAAUCAAGGCUGAGGCGUGAUGACGAGGCACUACGGUGCUGAAGUAACAAAUGCCCUGCUUCCAGGAAAAGCCUCUAAGCAUCAGGUAACAUCAAAUCGUACCCCAAACCGACACAGGUGGUCAGGUAGAGAAUACCAAGGCGCUUGAGAGAACUCGGGUGAAGGAACUAGGCAAAAUGGUGCCGUAACUUCGGGAGAAGGCACGCUGAUAUGUAGGUGAAGUCCCUUGCGGAUGGAGCUGAAAUCAGUCGAAGAUACCAGCUGGCUGCAACUGUUUAUUAAAAACACAGCACUGUGCAAACACGAAAGUGGACGUAUACGGUGUGACGCCUGCCCGGUGCCGGAAGGUUAAUUGAUGGGGUUAGCGGUAACGCGAAGCUCUUGAUCGAAGCCCCGGUAAACGGCGGCCGUAACUAUAACGGUCCUAAGGUAGCGAAAUUCCUUGUCGGGUAAGUUCCGACCUGCACGAAUGGCGUAAUGAUGGCCAGGCUGUCUCCACCCGAGACUCAGUGAAAUUGAACUCGCUGUGAAGAUGCAGUGUACCCGCGGCAAGACGGAAAGACCCCGUGAACCUUUACUAUAGCUUGACACUGAACAUUGAGCCUUGAUGUGUAGGAUAGGUGGGAGGCUUUGAAGUGUGGACGCCAGUCUGCAUGGAGCCGACCUUGAAAUACCACCCUUUAAUGUUUGAUGUUCUAACGUUGGCCCCUGAUCGGGGUUGCGGACAGUGUCUGGUGGGUAGUUUGACUGGGGCGGUCUCCUCCUAAAGAGUAACGGAGGAGCACGAAGGUUGGCUAAUCCUGGUCGGACAUCAGGAGGUUAGUGCAAUGGCAUAAGCCAGCUUGACUGCGAGCGUGACGGCGCGAGCAGGUGCGAAAGCAGGUCAUAGUGAUCCGGUGGUUCUGAAUGGAAGGGCCAUCGCUCAACGGAUAAAAGGUACUCCGGGGAUAACAGGCUGAUACCGCCCAAGAGUUCAUAUCGACGGCGGUGUUUGGCACCUCGAUGUCGGCUCAUCACAUCCUGGGGCUGAAGUAGGUCCCAAGGGUAUGGCUGUUCGCCAUUUAAAGUGGUACGCGAGCUGGGUUUAGAACGUCGUGAGACAGUUCGGUCCCUAUCUGCCGUGGGCGCUGGAGAACUGAGGGGGGCUGCUCCUAGUACGAGAGGACCGGAGUGGACGCAUCACUGGUGUUCGGGUUGUCAUGCCAAUGGCACUGCCCGGUAGCUAAAUGCGGAAGAGAUAAGUGCUGAAAGCAUCUAAGCACGAAACUUGCCCCGAGAUGAGUUCUCCCUGACCCUUUAAGGGUCCUGAAGGAACGUUGAAGACGACGACGUUGAUAGGCCGGGUGUGUAAGCGCAGCGAUGCGUUGAGCUAACCGGUACUAAUGAACCGUGAGGCUUAACC